AUUGUGUCAUCAACGCGGCAUGCACGAGGUGUCAUGUGCCUCCCAACAAUUGUGACCGUGCAUCAAUGAUGUAUGUCUUUGACACACGCAAAUGUGCAUGGAGGAGUAUACCACUUCCUUAAGGAUCUACAGUAGACAAUUAUGUCUGAAAAGCAUUGUGUGUGCAGGGCAGAAUAAUCCCUGCACCAUUGCAGGGGGGUGGGUAGUCCACCCCAGCUCCUCAAAUACAUUUAAAGCACUGGAUUACUCUUUCAACUCCUUGACAGAUUUUUGGUUGUUUACACAUACUGAGGGAGAUCCAUUUGGAAGCAUAAUAUUAUAUUUCCUAUGGCUGCAUUAUUUCAUUUUUGAGGCAUGCAGUGCACUUUAGGGCAAAAUGAUCCCUGCACCACAAUCUAUACCUCUAAAACACUGGAUUAAUUUUGUUUGUGACAACAUCUGGAUUUUUGGCAUUUACUGAUAUUCUCUGAGGACAUAAACGGGCAAGGAUGAGAAGAAGGUAUGGUCUUGUGCUAGAAUCUGAAAUGCAAUGUGUGCACUACAGGGCAGAAUAACCCCUGCACUAUUGCAGGGGGGCUGGGUAGUCCACCCCAGCUCCCCAAAACAUAUUUUAAGUACUGGAUUACUCUUUCAGCGGCUUGACACCUGGAGUUUUGGGUGUUUACAUGUACUGUAGGGGGGUUGGGUAGUCCACCCCAGCUCUCCAAAGGACAUAAUCACAUCAUGAAAGUGUUGGCCUUCCAAACCUGCUGGCCUAUAGGAAGCUAUGGACAGAGAUUCAGCUUCAAGAGGGCUGUGACAUGGACUGCAUCGGAGGAACAGUAAGAUCGUCAGCAGAACAGACCAUCCGUCAAAAAUUGGAACCUUGGAAGAUCCUGAGUUUUACUCCCCGAGUGGAUCUUUUUCGUCAUCCAGGAUUUCUACACUUAGAAUCUCCAUGCUGCUGUGGAUAGGGGCUGUAGACCAUCAUUGUGAGCACCAUCUGCUUCAGGGAGGAGCUACUGGUGCACAUUCAGCACUGGCUGCAGAAGGGGUUUCACCACAGCUUCAUGGAUGCAGGAUGUGCAUAUGCUUUUGCACAUGGGAGUACAACAUUGCAGUGGCUGGAUGUAUUGAGCCACAGGUGCAUUCUGGGGCAGAAUAAUCCCCGCACCUUGGCAAGGGGGGCUGGGUAGUCCACCCCAGCUACUCCAAACCAUUACACCUGAAAUGCUGGAUUCUUUUGCACUUUUUGAUACCUGGGUUUAUGGUCAUUACAAUGAGGGAAACAAAUGUUACAAAGAUAAGGAUCUAUGUAGUUGAGUCUGAAAAGCAAUGUGUGCACUACAGUGCAGAAUAAUCCCUGCACCAUUGCAGGGGGGCUGGGUAGUCCACCCCAGCUCCCUAAACAGUGAUACAGUACAUCUGAAACACAGGAUUACUGUUUCAGCUUUAGUUUUCUGUACAUGUACUGAGGAGGGAGAUCAAUGUUCAAGCAUUAUGUGGAUAUUAUGUUUCCUAUGGCUGUAUUUAUUUGUGAGGCAGUGAGUGCACGUCAGGGCAGAAUAAUCCCUGCACCACUGUAGGAGAGUUGGGCAGUCCACCCCAGCUCUUCAAAUCUAUAGAUUCUUCUAAAAUAUUUUUUAUAGAAUAAUCCCUGCACCAUUACAGGGGGCUGGGUUGUACUAAGGGAGAACCUUGUUCAAGCAUAAGUGGAUAGUAUAUUUCCUGUUGCUGUAUUUUUUUCCCGAGGCAGUCAGUGACCACAUUUUAGGGCAGCAUAAUCCCUGCACCACUGUAGAAGGGCUGGGUAGUCCACCCCUGCUCCCCAAAAGACAGAAACCUUUUCAGUUUUGCAACAUGGAAGUGAUGGCCUUCCAACACUGCUUGCCCAGAAGAAGCGAUGGACAGAGAUUCAACUGCUACAUACAGGCCUGAGACAUGCAUUACGGGAACAGUAAGGAACCAUUCAAAUAUGGGAGGACAACAUUGCAUUGCCAGGAUUUGUUGAGCCACAGGUGCAUUCUGGGACAAAAUAAUCUGGGGGCCAUCCACCACAGCACCUCAAAAUCAUGGAUACCCCUGACCCGGAUACCUCAUGUUCCAUGGCACCUGGAUUUGCACUUGUAGGACUGCUGGAGGUUAAUUAAUUAAUUGUUAGUCUUUUCCAGCAAUGUGUGCACUAAAGGGCAGAAUAAUCCCUGCACCAUUGCAGGGGAGUUGGGUAGUCCACCCCAGCUCCCCAAAACCAUAUAGGUACUUUUGAAGUCGUUUGCCAUUGAUGAUGUCUGGAUUUCAUGUUCACUAAAGGAUACAAAAGACCAAGAAUGGAGAUAUGUAAAUUUGUAGUUGAAUAUGCAAUGUGUGCACUACAGGGCAAAAUAAUCCCUGCACCGUUGCAGGGGGGCUGGGUAGUCCACCCCAGCUCUCCAAAACAUUAAUACACCAGAAGCACUGGAUUAUUUUUUCAGUUCCACCUGGAUUUCCAUUUGGAGCUCCAUUUGCAAGUGUAAGAGGAAGUUUGAUUUUCUCUUUGUAGGCAAUGUGUGCACUACAGGGCAGAAUAAUCCCUGCACCAUUGCAGGGGGGUUGGGUAGUCCACCCCAACUCCCCAUCCUUUCGUAAUUCCAAGGAUUAUUAUUAUUGAUAUAAAUAAAUUCA